CUUAGGGUACCUUCCAACACAAUGAUGAGGAUUUGGUUUUUAAUUGCAUGAAUGUUAAAGAGAGUUAUAAACAUGGAUGAAAAUUUGAUUUACUCUUUGGUGUAUGCUUGGUUGUGGUUAUAAUUUAUGAAUUCACAUGCAAUCAUAACGGAAAAAUCAGUUUUGUAACAUGCUUGAAAGAAGGAACUCAAAUGUAUGCUACAACCUUGUGAGACUUGAGCCUAAACGUUUAUUUGGAGAGUUAAUAAUCUGUGCAUCAUUGUUUUCUAAAGUCGUUGCAUGAUCUCAUUAUUCUUUGCUUGGUUGCUACUUAGAAGGCGUUUCAUCAGUUAGUUCCAAAUGCUAGAACUCAUGCCUAUUUCGUUCAGAGCAUGUUAUUGAUUUGCAUAAUACAUAUUCAAGAUGAAGUUGUGGAGUGACCACCACAGCCAGAUUGCCGUGCCCUAUUUCAUUAUGUGUUUAAGUUUAACCCCGUUGAGCCUUGUGUAGCCUAUGUUCUUUGUUAACCCACAAUAUCCUCACCUAGCCUAGAUUAGGACCAUCCAUACCCUUGUUCUUGAAGCAUAGUAAAACAUAAUUUAGAAGGAAUUCCUUUUGUUGAACUUUUGCAGAAAAACAAGUGUGGGGGAAGUGAUUCUUGUGUGUGUGUGUGUGCCAAAGUCCUUAAUAAGGCACGGGUAGAAACGAAAAAGAAAAAAAAAACAUUCGUGGAAAAUAGAAUGAAAAGAAGAAAGUUGUGAAAAAGAGCCCUAAGUGUUGCAUGAAUCUUUCCUUUGUAUUUAAAUGUUGAUUCUGCAUUCUAAAGUGAAUUCCAAAGUGUCUAUUUCAUUGCUUUGCUUGAUAUCGCUUUAAGAACAUUUGUUAUUCCUAUCCUUUCUUUAUUAGCCAAUACCCCAAGCCCCGUUACAACCCUUGACUUCUAUCUUGAGUGUUAUGUGUUUCAAUUUGUCGAGUUUGAAAUUGGUAUGAGCAUAUGGUGUCACUGAGUCUCGCAUCUAAGUAGUAGCGUUCCAUUCAUGAGAUCAUAUCUAAACAUGCUGAAUAACUCCAGAAAAUUGCCCUCUUUGUUAUACAUAUAUGUGAGUGUUCGUUUUCAUGUUUACAUCAAUCUUCUCAUAUAUAACUGGUGUAGGGUGUGUAGUCAGAAAAUGUGUGUGAAAAUAGAGAAUAUCUUGUAAGGAAUUGAGUAAAUUCUCUAAGGCAUGUUACUAAAUUCAAAACAUCGUUUUAAUUGGUUGAAUGUGAACUAGUAAGUGGUGACUGUGAUUAAGUAUGUGCUCAAGUGUUAAGUUGACUAAAAUCUGUGGGAAUGAUGAUUUUUAACUUGUCAUGUGUGUUGGAAAUCCCUGAGGCAAACGUUGGAAGGUUUAGGUUGUGUUUUGUUUUCUUUAUUUUGCUUGAGGACUAGCAAAAGCUAAGUGUGGGGGUAUUUAAUAAGCUCAUAUUUAUAUAUAUUUUACAUAAAAUUCACUUGUCUUUUCUUAGUUAGUUCCUUAUACUUUUGAGCUAUUUACUAUGUUUUUGUGUUUUGUGUGAUUUAUCAAGCAAAGAAAAGAAAAGUAGCACAAGUGAGAUAUUAAGUAACAAAUUCAAAACUGCCUGUGCAGAUUAGAUGACUUCGGAAGCAUGUUACGAACAGCUCAGAAUGAAUGAGCAAAUGAGCCUUAUAUUCUUGGAAAGAUACGGAUGUCUAUUUUCUGUAGCAAUUCACGGAUUGUUAAUAUCAUUUUUCUAGAAGAAGUUAUGGGCAUUGUAACACUGAAAGGUUCAGAAAAGGGCUAAGCAGAUUUGGCUAAUAAAAUGAGAAAGUAAAGGCACUUGUUUGUGUUUUGCUUUGUCAUCAACACUCAGCAGAAAAUGGGGUUAUGAUUGCACUCAUUUGUCUUUGGAGCAAGUGGAAAUGCACAGCUAGAAAGAGAAGGCAUGGCACUUGCAAAAGAGAAACAUGGACAGCUACACACAUGCAAACUGCAAAGCAUGGAGGGCUUGGCAUGGGCAGAAAAUGGGUCGAUUGUUGGCUGAAAUAAUGAAGAACAUGUGUGUGCAAAUGCAAAGGAAAGACACACACAUGAGCAGAAAAUGGGUUUAUUUGUGGUUGAAAUGAUGAAGAAUAUGUGUGUAAAUGUAAAGGAGAAACAUGGCAGAAAAUGUGUUUGUUUUGUGGCUGAAAUGAUGGAGGUCAUGUGUGGGAAAAUGUAAAGGGAAACAUGGACAUCACACACCCAUACAAACUGCACAUGCAAGGAAUUGAAAUGGUCCUCUCCUUAUCCUAUACAUACAUCCACCAUUCCCCUUCCUAAGGACAAUCUUGAUCCAUCAAAAGAGCUUCAUUCACAAACACAAUUUCCUUGCCGUGACCUCCAUCCAUUCAUCUAGCCAUACUACAUCUCACCAAUCCAUACACUUUCAUCUCUUAGCCGUGCAAAUCCAUUCCAUCCAUAUAUUCAUACACAUCCUAGACACUUGUGCUACAACAAGGUGGUGAAAACAAAGGUCCUUGGCAUUUCAAGCUUGGAACUUUGGAGUUUUAGGUGUAAACAAAGGUCCUUGGCGUUUCAAGCUUGGAACUUUGGAGCGUUUUAGGUGUACUUCGUUCU
rnacentral:lncRNA from 1 species